CUUUUUGUGGUUGCUAUAGUGAUUUCAGGUAUGAGGAAGUUGUUUAGCAAUGUUUAGCUUUAACGCGGGUCAGGUGGUGUGAGUAAUGUGCAGUCCUUGAUCUUCAGUUUAACAGCAGGUUAUUUGAAGGCUGCGUAUCCUGAGCGAUGAAUUGAUUCUCAGGAACUCCUCUAUCUGCGUUUGGAUCCUCCUUUUUCGUCCUGGGCGAUUAUUGCUGCAAUUCGGCUUUUCCUCCGCUGUGCACCGAGUGAACAACCUCGGCUUACAACUAUUUAAAAGGGGAUUUCUGCUGCUGCCUUUUUGCUUUUGUGAUUGUUUUAACUGGUAUUUUCUGGCCUACUUUGGGGUGGAGCAACAUGCAAGUAUCGGGGCUGGCUUAAGGACGACGCGGCCACUCCUUUUGAGUCUUGCUUCCACUUAAACUUUUAAUAAAGUUUUUCGUUGUUUUUCUUUAA